GAUCCAAAGUUCCGGGGGCCAGGUCAUCAGGUCCGUCACCUAAUCUCAUUCGCUUUGUCCAUUUCAAUUUUCCUUCGUCAGGCGCCGCACUUUUCACCUCCGCCUCUCGUUUUCCGCCAGAAGGCUGCCAACAUGACCCUUUUGUCAGUCCGUUUCGUUUCGUUUGAUUUUUUGGCCACCGUUCGGGAUUUUCCCUUUGGCCCCUUUCCCUGUCCCUCUUCCCUGCCCGUCCCCGUCCGUCUGCCAAUUACCAAUUAAGCUUUGCUUAAAGCCCAAUUAAUACCCUCGCUCUGAUUACCCGCCCACCGUCAUCGUCGCCCAUCAUCAAUGCAAUUAUUGACAACAAAGCUCGGCGCUGUGCCAAAUCCCAGAAUCCCAGAAUGCCAGAAUCCCAGAAUCCCAGAAUGCCAGGACCCCCAAUAACCCCUGAACCCCAGAACUCAGGAAGCCCAGCACCCCAGCACCCUAUAAUGCCAGCCAGAAGGGGUAAUCGACUAACUGGGCACUCCAAGUCAGCCACGUACAUUGGAGAAUCGACACAUGGCGAUGGGGGCGGCCAAUGGGUCGUCAUUGGAUGAUUCGUUGUGGUUUAGAUGAUCGGAGGAGGUGGGAUGACUGCGAUGAGCAGUGGAAAAAGGAAAAAGGAGCUGCAACAGCCCGAUGACCCAAGGCAUUUCAUCCAACCGAUACCAGUAUCUGGCAGGCACUGCGAAUUACACGCUGAGAAAAACGGGAAAAGAUAUGCAUUUUAUUGAAUAUCGCGGAUGUAUCGAGUGUAUAAAUAUGUACUGAAAUAAGAAACUUGUCUUUUAAACUUUUAGCUUAGUUUCACUGGAAACAACAUUUCUAUGGUAUAGCGCGGAAGGCAUAGCGAUUUCGCGCAGUGUGUGAGCCGUUGGCUUUGCAAUUGGUGGCGUUGGCGAGCAAAAAAAAAAUGAAGGAAGCGGACGACAGACAUUCCGGCCGCAGACCAGCAAUUACACCUCGCCCACUGGCGGCCGUCCCCGGAGAUUGCCCCUCCGGAGAGACUCCCCCCUGCCCCCUGCAGUCCACAUGGCCCCCGGACGGACCCUGCCCCAUGGACUCUCCCGGCUGCCCGUUCAAUCGGAGGCCCUCGAGCACUUGGACAAAACACUCGAGCGCCGCUCGACAGGCGGCGGUGCAAUUUUUUUCAUCCGAUGUUUCCCUCCAGGGCCAGUCAACAAAUGUCCCGCCCACGCUGUCACGCCCCCUUGCCAUGGCUGCGUCAUUAGGGAAAGCGAAAAAAAAAAGAAAAAACAAAAUGUGGAAAAGAAACGGAAAGGCAGGGGAAAGGGAAGGGAAGAGAUUUGCACAUGAGAUCGAAGAUUGGGAUAUCCUGUAGGUGAAGCUGUUUGCGUUAGCAGCUGAAAAUUAACUGCCGAUGUGGUUGAGAUUUAGUUAUGUAUUUCUAGGGCAAGCCAAACAUUUUGUGAGUUUAGACCUUUUCUUAAAGAUAUGAUGGUUUUCCCCAUGAUAUCCUGGUAAUCCUGUUUCAAAAAUCACGGCAUCGCUUUAAGGAGCGCCAUAAUAUGGUUUCUUUCAUUGGGAAACGGAAAAUACCCGCAAUUUGCAGCAGCUCCAAGAUGGAGGAGCCGUCGUGCCGCAAAAUGCGCCGCCGGCGGGGAAUCGUUUUUGUUUCUGAAGUUUGCCCAACUGGAGCAUCGCGACCAGCAAUGGUGGAGAUCCGGAGGCGCUGGUGGAGCUGGAGGAGAUGGAGGAGCUAUGGGCUACGGGAUAGCCACCCCCAGAUGCUCGGACUUGGAGCAGCGAUGCAGCGAAGAGCGAAGGCGGCCCGGCAACCUGGCCAACAACUUGGGGCGACUUUUUGCACUCAUUUCGCACGUUCAAACAAUGGAAGUGUGUAGGUGCGCGACGGGCAGGGGGAUUGGCAAGGGGGCGAAAAGUAAUUGGUGGACCAGGACGCAGGACAUGGCCCCGGGAUGGGGGGAAGUAGCUGGCGAAAGGAACCAACUCUGGCACACGCGUCUAAACGGCGGUGCAAAAUUGGGAGCCAGGCGACGAGAUUUCCAACCAGUUUGAAGCCAAAAGCAGCCCAUAAAUAUUAUAUUUACUUAAGCGAAGUUUCGCCACGCACUGCCAUUUUCCCAUUUCCCCAUUGAACACCUUUUGAUACAUUUAUUUUGCAUUUAGCAUCUAUGCAGCAUAAUCGCAUCUCUGGAAAAACUCACUCACAUUCAAGAAGUCCGCUUUCAUCUUUGUCGGCUGGCUGUUUGUGGAGAUACUUGGAUAGCUGCUGGGUUUUCGACUGGGAAAACUGCGGGAGAACUGAAGGGAAGGGGGAAAAUUAGUGGAAGGUGGAGUCAGGGAAAAGCGGGGAGCGGAAGAAGCUGGGGAAACGCAGAAGGCAUUAGGGGCAUCAGCCGCACACGAAAAUACAGUUAGCUUAAAGCAUUUCCCGUAUUUUACUGUCAUGCCACAUUGCCACGGCCUCUAUUUCCCUGUCUGUGUGUAUGCGUCUGUGUGUGUGGGUGUGUCUCGGGGGGCUGUGGGCUGCGAAGGCGUGGCUGCUAAAAGGGGGCGGGGCCAGCCAACGGUGCUUUGGGGUUUUCUACUUGGUCGUUGUAAAUUACUUGAUUCGUUGUUGGAAUUUAAUUAACAUUUUCCUAAGUUUUACUUUUAGUCUUUUUACUAACUGCGCGCAUGUGUGUGUGUGUGUG